GUCGGAUUAUGUACAACAAUCCCCAAUUAAUUCUAUAGAAUUAGGGUAUUUAAAGAGAGAAAGAAGAUCAAGAGAGAGAGGAGAUUGAUACAGUAGCCCCCAAUUGAUUUUGCCCCCAAUCGAUCAUUCUAUUUGUCACGAUUACCCAAAUAAUUGGUCACAAUUGGUCAACAUAUCACCCGACUUCGACCUACUACCAUUCUGCCAAAAUCGAUACAACCGGAACAUCGUCGUCACCUCACCACCACCACUAGCAAAUUUUGUACUCAUAUGUUGUUGCCAACCCAUCCCACCAACACUACCCACACCGAAGUCACAUCAGCUUUGACUGAGUACCAACUUAUUUUUCACUUAGUGACCAUCUUGAACGCUACAUCAACAUAAAUAAUUGAUAGAUUUAACUCCAACGAAUCAAUGAUAACAAACCCACAAGAUGUCAACUGCAGUAGCUUGUCCAUGGGAACUGGCAACCCACCUCCACCACUCUUUCCCAACAAAAACCCCAACGCAUCUGUUACCCUCUCCUCUUCGACUCUACUAAGAUUAGGCUCCAAAUUACUGUCUUACUCCAUCAUUUGUAACAGAAGAUAUCAAAAUAAAUAUUCUCCAUUCACCCUAUGAUAAACGGUGAAAAAAGAUGAAAAGAGCAAAAAAGUUGUAUAAAUGGAAAUAUCCAGGAGAAUUUCAAUGAGGUAAGUGUAGAUUUUAGAUGAGAAAUGAAUGGAUAAGUGUUUGGCCUACCACGUGUAGCGGUUGCCGCUGCGUGCAUCUGCUUUCUCCGAUAGUUAUGUUAUGCCCCUAGGGGUUAGGUGGGGGCAGGUACAGUGGUAAUAGAGACUAGAGAGAGAGAGAGAGAGAGAAAAGAAAAAGUGAUGGUAAAGAGAGAUACAAAGAGGGGCCCGUAGAGAGAGAGUUGGUGGGGCUAAGUCUGGAAUUAAUUGGGGUGGAGGUGGUGUGGGAUUAUUCUACAAAUUAAGGUUUAACUAAAUUUUUAUUAAUUACAAUUAAUAAUUUUAUUUACCACUUGAAAUCUGAAGUUUAAACGUAACCCCUUUAUUUAUGAAAACUAAUAUUUAAUUACAGGGUUUUAGGUAAUUUUCCCUUUAUUUUUUCCCCAAU
rnacentral:lncRNA from 1 species